GUUGAGCUUGGGGCACGAGAGCAAGAAGGCUCGAGAGGAGGCAGCCGUUGUCUUCAACGCACAAAGGCGGUGCUGGCGUUCGGCAGCGACGCCGAGGGUAACCCGAUUCUGGGUCGGGGGCAGGGAUGCCUGGGUCCCGACCUGGUCCUCCGCUCCCCGCCCCUCUCAGCCCUCAGACUCCGAUGGCGGCGGCCGCGCGGAGGGUCCCGGUUCAGGUAAACGCUCGUCCUCUAGACGCUCAGCCCCUCGGACACUCAAGGGCCCGCUGACCGUCCCCUGCUCAAGCACCUGGGCCCAGGUCUGUAGGAGCAUGUGGGUGGGGGUCCCCAUUUCUGCCAGCGAGUGUGAUGGGGUGUGGCAGGGGCUUACAGGCCGAGGGACCGGCAAAAUCAAAGCCUUGGGGCAGUUACUCCACUCGGAGUCUUACCUCGAGGUCUGUCUCAGCUGCGCACAGAGCCGCUUCUGAGGGGACGAGACACACGUGAAAAGGCAGCGCGAGCAGCGGGGACCUUCGUUCUGAGGCUGCUGGUGGCCGCGAAGGGUUGUGACUAAACGGAGGGCUCAACCUAUGUUUCAGUUUUCCAAAGGCUUCUCAGGGAAAAACAGACUGGGAUGGGGGUGAUGAAAGGUCUCCCUAUAGGAAGUCAGUACGACAGACUAAUAGUUCGGGGGCGGGGGGCUGGGCUUUUGCUGGUGGUUAGAGACGGGGAGGAAUGAUCAACUCUCCAAUGGGUUUUAAAAACUCAACAGACAGGAUUUCUUACCGCACCAGACGUCGCUCUGAAAAAGUAGGGAUUUUUGGUUUGCACUUUUGCUUCUUGUUUCCUGAACACCUGCAAGAGUGGAGCUGGGGGAUUCAGUGCAGGGAGCCCGUUUCGGGGACUAGAUUUUGUACAUGGUAACCCUGAGGUGUCCCAAGUGUCACGUGACCUAUUGGGUUCUGGGGAGGGAUCUGGGCUGAAUAUACCCAGGGGAUGGUGAGUGGUGGCCUGGCCCAGAGCAAGUCCUGGGGCUCAUAUUUAGGAGGGAGAAUCUUUAUGUUGUUCUCUCAGAUAAACUUGGAGGGUGGGAUUGCCUCCAAAGGGGCGUAUUCCUGUGCUGUGAAGUGGUUCUGGCUGGAGUGUGGAGGAAUGGAGGCUUAUAGGGUUUAAGAAUCCAGGACUCUGAUUCAGUCGUGCAGAUUUGCCACUCCAGGCUCAGCGGGGACUCAUUUCCACUCCUGUUAGAGAAAAAGGGACAAGUGACCUUUGAGGACGUGGCUGUCUGCUUCUCACAGGAGGAGUGGGGGCUCCUUGAUGAAACCCAGAGGCUCCUGUACCGCAGUGUGAUGCUGGAGACCUUCUCACUGAUGGCCUCUCUGGGACUCACAUCUUCCAGGACGCAUGACAUUUCUCAGCUGGAGCGGUGGGGAGAGCCCUUUCUGUCUGCCAGUGGAGCCAUGCGUGCAACCAGGCCAACAGGUUGUUGGCAUGGAGUGCAGGCUGAGGAGGCCCCAUCCAAGCAGAGUGUUUACGCAGGAGUGCUCAGAGCAAAGCUUCACCAACACCAGCAGCUGAGCUCUAGAGAGAAACCUGUAAGAGGAGAAGAGGGUGGGAAGCACUCCCCAACGGGCUCUGGUCUCCUCAGGCAUCAAGUGGCUCAGAGCAGAGGGGAGCCACACAGGAGCACUGAAAGCACAGAGGAUUUUCACCCAGGAAAAAGGCAUUACAGAUGCAGUGAAUGUGGGAAAGCCUUUGGUCAGAAAUACUUACUUGUUCAGCACCAAAGACUACACACUGGAGAAAAGCCUUAUGAAUGCAGUGAAUGUGGGAAAUUAUUUAGCCAUAAAUCCAACCUUUUUAUACACCAAAUAGUGCACACUGGUGAAAGGCCUUAUGGGUGUAAUGAAUGUGGAAAAUCCUUUAGUCGCAAUGCUGACCUCAUACAACACCGGAGAGUUCACACUGGAGAAAAGCCUUUUACAUGCAGUGAAUGUGGAAAAGCCUUCAGGCAUAAUUCCACACUAGUCCAGCAUCACAGAAUCCACACUGGAGUAAGGCCUUAUGAGUGCAGUGAAUGUGGAAAAUUCUUUAGCUUUAACUCAAGCCUCAUGAAACAUCAGAGAGUUCACACUGGAGAAAGACCUUACAAAUGCAGUGAAUGUGGGAAGUUCUAUAGCCACAAGUCAAGCCUUAUUAAUCACUGGCGAAUUCACACUGGGGAAAGACCUUAUGAGUGCAGUGAAUGUGGAAAAUUUUUUAGCCAAAGCUCUAGUCUCAUGCAGCACCGAAAAGUUCACACUGGAGAAAAGCCUUUUAAAUGCGAUGAAUGUGGAAGAUUGUUUAGUGAGAAUUCUAGCCUCGUUAAACACCAGAGGGUUCACACUGGAGCCAGACCUUACGAGUGCAGGGAAUGUGGGAAAUUCUUCCGCCAUAGCUCCAGCCUUGUCAAACAUCGGAGGAUUCACACUGGAGAAAUGCCUUAUGAGUGUAGCAACUGUGGGAAAUCAUUUAGCCAGCGCUUCAACCUCAUUCAACACCAGAAAAUUCACAGUGGAGAACAAUCUUGAAUGUAACUAAUGUGGAAAAGCCUUUAACCAAAGGUCUGUGCCAGUUCAGCAACAGAAACUUCACAACCCAGACAAGCCUUAUGAAUACAGGAUGUGAAGAAAGGUUUCAGCCAAAGGCUUAACCCUGUUUGGCACCAGUAAGUUCAGACUGGAGAAAGGCCUCAAGAGUACAGGGCAUGUCUCUGUCAUACCAUAAGCUUACAGAAGCUUGAAGAGUAGCAUUUAAUGAGUGAGCCAACAAUUGACUGUCACUCAUCCUGACACACACUGGAGCAGGAUGAGAACUGCUGACAUACUGCCCCUCCUGAGAGGCUAGUCCACUGCCUGCCAUCUCAGAGAGAGGGAGCCCUGUAACCUUGGCUGCAUCAGUCCAGAAUGGAGUUUCCAUCUCUUGAGUUUGGAGCAAGGGGAGGGGAGGAUGUGUGGUCUUGGUUCAGAUGUGACUGUCUCUUGCUGUUCUUACUGGAAUAUUAGGUUUUCUUAAAUAAACGUUUCUUCAUUUGCUGUUAUCCUUAGGAUCAUUUCCAGAGGCAUUAAAUGGUGUUUUUAUGAUUUUCACCAGUUUCACUGGGAAGCAGGCCUGCAAAGUUCCUCACACUGUCGUGCUGGAAGUUGAUCCAAACAUUUAACUUCUUCAGAACUGGCCACUCUGUGUCUUAAAUGGAUAUGCCAUUUCGCAUUUCUUCCUGGAGUGUAUUAGAUUUCCAGUUUCUUCAUUCUUGCUGACUUUUGUAUGUAAGACAUUGGCCAUUCAUUUUAGCCAUUCUAGUAGAUGUGUAGUAGGAUUUUAUUAUGGUUUUAAUUUGCAUUUCCCUAAAGACUCAGUGUUGAGUUUUUCUCCCUGUGUGUUUGCCAUUCAUAUAUCUUCUUUAGUGAAUUAUUUGUUCAAAGUUUUUUGCCUACUAUUAAAAUAAUUGUCCUGCAAUUUAAUAUAUUGUGGAUACAAGUUACUCAUUGAUAAAUGCUUAACCAAUAUUUCCUCACCA